GACGAACGCUGGCGGCGUGCCUAAUACAUGCAAGUCGAGCGAACAGACGAGGAGCUUGCUCCUCUGACGUUAGCGGCGGACGGGUGAGUAACACGUGGAUAACCUACCUAUAAGACUGGGAUAACUUCGGGAAACCGGAGCUAAUACCGGAUAAUAUAUUGAACCGCAUGGUUCAAUAGUGAAAGACGGUUUUGCUGUCACUUAUAGAUGGAUCCGCGCCGCAUUAGCUAGUUGGUAAGGUAACGGCUUACCAAGGCAACGAUGCGUAGCCGACCUGAGAGGGUGAUCGGCCACACUGGAACUGCGACACGGUCCAGACUCCUACGGGAGGCAGCAGUAGGGAAUCUUCCGCAAUGGGCGAAAGCCUGACGGAGCAACGCCGCGUGAGUGAUGAAGGUCUUCGGAUCGUAAAACUCUGUUAUUAGGGAAGAACAAAUGUGUAAGUAACUAUGCACGUCUUGACGGUACCUAAUCAGAAAGCCACGGCUAACUACGUG
rnacentral:rRNA from 1 species